CUAGCAUGUAGCUACUGUGGCAGUUUUUUCAAGAGUAAUCUAUUCUGAUGUACUAAACAUAGCAACAUUUUUAGUAAUCAUAAAUUGUAGUUUAUUUUCCACUCCAAUGCAUUAAACACCGGAUGAGUUUACUUAAUUUGUUUCUUUUCUAAUUUAACGCAAAAGUGUUAAAUCUGGUGUUGUAUCAAUAACGUAUUUAAGUACCUACAUAGUACAUAAAAUGCAUUCCAUCGUCUUCUUAAUUGGUAGCUGAUACUACGUUGUUUCACACAUUCGAGUAUAUAUCAGACUGCAUGCAGUUAAUUAAGUAGCAAGCGGGUCAUUGUAGCCCAGAUCUAAUCGAAAUCGAGCAUGCGGUCUAGGAGAGCCCGACGAUACGUAUAUACUGUUCUACUUAAUCAACAGCUAAACUAAGAACGUGGUCAGCGACAUACAGAUGGUGAUUUCACCAAUAACCACAACGACCUGGUGCUAGUCAUCCAUUCACUAGACGUGAAGGACAUGUGUAAAGCCUUGAUGGUGUGCUAAGAUCACUACCAAGAACCAACUAGGAAAAAAAAGGUGUUAGAUAACAUACCAGAGGCGUUGUCCAAAAUGUCAUCCGGGCAAGAUUCAAAAUAUUUUGAAAAUUAUACCACUUAUAGAAAAUGCUAAUAAAGACGUUUGGUGAACAUUUCAAGUAGUUUCAGGAAGACACAAUUAGUGGCCAGCUGUUUCGAGUCAAGCGAACUUCGUUUCAACAAGAUCGUUGAAGAGGCAUAUUAUGUACGUCGCAUCCACACACCAUUAUAACUUAUAAGUUAUAAGUGACAAUAAACCAAAACAGAUCUAUCCAGAAAAAUUAACCACAGAGCACCGUGGAAGCAUUAAUUAAUUUCACGGUGCUACAAAUAUAUAGGUACUAAAUAAAAUAUUUUUAAAAUAAUAUAUUAUAUUUUCUCUAUCGUAAAAAAAACAUAGAAUCAACAACAUAUAUCAUUGUACAUUUUUUUUACUAACCUGUGUAAUAUGUUAUCAAAUUAUAUAAGCUUUUCUUAGACAUUUAGUUACCUUAUAAGACGUAGUUAAAGAGUGAUACGGAAGAGGGUAGUACUAGCCAUUAGGUCCACCUCCCCAGAUCAUAGAGAUUGGAAAUACUCACGUGAACUUUACUUUUACUCUGCUCUACGAUAGAUUUAACGUAGGUCAGACAACCAUGUCAGGUAUGAAAUCACAACGGAAAAUUUUUACAAAACGUUAACCAGACACUAAUCAUGGUAGAUAUAGUGCUUGAUCAUACUAGCAUACUAAAAAAUGUAAUUGCCUCAAAAUGUUCAAAACGCAAUUUUUAUUUGUUGACAAGUAAGAAUAUUAAGUAUUUUUUUGUAUUCAAAGGUAUGUUAUGUUAUAACAGCUUAAAAAUAUUACUAUUUCACAUUUGUAACAGUGAGAGUUAACUAUCAUAAACCUUAAUGUAGAAAUGGAUAACUGUGGACUAGGUAUGUACAGAUAUUUACGAUUGGGAAAUUAGUAUAUAAUAAUAUAGUAAUAGUAAUAACUAUAUUUUAGUAUAUUAAAGGUACCUACUGAAAUUGCAAUAAAAUCACCCUAUCACACUAAUUUUUAACAACGACCGUGAAUAGUCUAAAAUUGAAAUUUUGAAGCUGAAAGUUUAACGUUUAAACAAUAAUGAACGUUAUUAGAUUAUUAUAUGCGUAGGUACCUAUUAUGUUCUAAAAAUGAAUAUUUCGGUAUAUAUAUGCUUAUAUAAUAAUUGUACUUAAUAAACAGUAUAAUUAAUAUAAAUAUAUUUUUUUAUAAAUUAAUUAUUAUUGCAAUUUAGUAUUUACAGUUAAAGACAUUACUUACUAUUAGCAUUUAAAGAAAAAUCUGUAAAAAUUAUGUUUCUACGGUCAAUACGAAAGAUUAUGUACAAUGUACGCAUAGAGAGUGAACGUUUUUUAUUACAUAUAAAAUGGGUGUGUAGCGAAUACUUAAACAGUUCUAGCCUGAAGGUACACUAACUGCCAAAUACCUAGGUACCUAAUACAGUGCGUUUUUUCUAUAAUAUUAUAGAAAUACUCAUUUCAACAUACAUUUCUUUGAGAUGCAAAAUAGAAAAAAAUAAAAAGGAAUUUAUGGGGAUCCAUCCCCCAUAUGCCCCUCCC